AAGAGACAAUUUCUUUUAUUGAAACUUGCUCCGUUUCUAGAAAUUUAAAAGUUACAGUCACAGCUUUGAAAAUGGGAAUUUGAAACAGGGCAUGACAGGAAAGUGUCACUGAAUUAAACACAAUAAUCAAACCACAAUAAUCAAACAUAACAUCAUCCAAUUGAAAAUCAGUUCUAACUUCAGAUCCUUGUACUUUUUACAGAUGUUUCUGCUCUGGUGUUAUCUGUUAUCUUAUCUAUCUAUUAAAACCAGAGCCGAGCGGCAUUAAUCUCCAACAUCAAGUCAGAUUUUAUAACUAAUGUUAUCAUGUUGUUCUUGGAAAAAUGUCAGUUGAAUCAAUUAUCGCAUGAGAAGCAAACUACUGUGAAAGUGAAUACGAUUUUUUAUCUCAUGAUUAUUCAAUUAUAAGAUCAAAACAUUCAAUCAUUCAACAAUGAACAAAUGUUUUGCAGGAUGAUUGAAGCCAUGCGCAAAAGAUUUAUCGGAAUUGUCGGAAUUUCAGACUUUUCCCCUCAGUUUUAAUGGGAGGAAGCCAUUUACAACUGUGUGUAAACUGCAUGUAACCACACAUCCAUCCCUCCAUCUCCUCUUCCCUGUUGCCCCCCCCCCACUUCACCCUCGGUGAGGGGUUAAAACGGGCACACAAAUUGAGUUACUGCUCCAUAUCCAUAAAUUGUUCCGCCCUCCACCUUUCAGUGCAGGAGCCAGGAGCUGACAUCCUGAUCAUCCUUGUCUGAUUAGGACAAUCAAUGAGAGUGAGCGGGGGAGAGAUGAGGAGGAAGAGGAGGAGCUGAAGAAGUGGGGGAUGUGUCUGUGUCAGCUGGGGGGGGGGGACUCCUCCCAUAAUUAAGUUAGCGCUCUGCGUUGAAGGUCUGUGUUUACAGGGCAGCUGAGAGUUUCCUCCACUCCCUUUGGGCAGCUCUGAGGCAGCAGCAGCUUGUUCGCUCUUCUCUCUGGCCGUUCCUGCACCAUCCCAUCGCUGCGCGGCGACCGACACCCCCCCAGCGGGACUGACUGACGAGGAGCCGGGAGGGCCGGCAGCGGGAGCAGCACCUACCCUUGGCCACCACUCGGGCUGCCAUCAUGUGCGACUGUUUUCACCUGGCUUUCCCCAACUGGCACGCCGACUCUGCAGGGCCAGGAGGUGGCCGAAGGCUGAGAGGACCAGGGCCUGGUGGACGGGCCGAUCCGGUGAGUAAUUAACAUUUUUGCAGGUGACUUAUUAGACAUAUGAAACCUUCGUUGGGUGACUCUUAAUGAAGCUGUGUCAAAUGUAACGGCUAAAUGACCUCUUGGACAAACAGAUCUAUGACGAGCCAUCUCAGUUCACAGAAGGAGAGCGACCGCGCCCUCAAGGAUCGUCCCCCGUUGAGGAGUACCCUGAAAAAUAUGGCGACAGUGACCAAGAGGUAACAUACUGUUACGUUAAUAACUGUUUUCGCUUGCUUCUAUGACAGGGAUACACAGCUAAAAUAUAUAAAAUAUAACAAAAUAGCAAAUAACAUGAGACUUCUGGGUCCUUCGGGUUAACUGAAAAGAUAAAAGUCUGUAUAGGCUCUAAACUGACCAAGCUAGAAAAAUUGAAUGAAUUAAUUUAAAAAGAAAUCCACUAGGGUCACAAAUCUUACUCAUUUCAAAAUCAGUGGGACAAUCAUGUGGUGAACCUAUUGAACUGUGCCACAUUUGCAAUUUUGUAUGUUGUUUAAAUUACAACUAUUAUUGUUUUAAAUCAGUUAUUAUUGUUAUUAUUAUUUGCCUUUUUAAUUUUUAGUGUGAAACAGAAUAUGAUUCGUACCACAAGGGCGCGACUGGAAAAAAACCCAAAAAGUCUGGGCUGGGGUCCAUGUUUGAGAAACGUUCAACUCCAAAAAUGAGCAAACUUAAGGUGAGAUCUCAGCAAAUUCCCUCUGAUAUGAAUCUGGCAACAGCAGAAACUGCACGUGACAGAAACCUUAUUUAUUGCACUUA
rnacentral:lncRNA from 1 species